GAUGAACGCUGGCGGCGUGCCUAAUACAUGCAAGUCGAGCGAACAGACGAGAGUGCUUGCACUCUCUGACGUUAGCGGCGGACGGGUGAGUAACACGUGGGUAACCUACCUAUAAGACUGGGUUAACUUCGGGAAACCGGAGCUAAUACCGGAUAAUAUUUAGCUUCGCAUGAAGCAAUAGUGAAAGACGGUUCUGCUGUCACUUAUAGAUGGACCCGCGGUGUAUUAGCUAGUUGGUGAGGUAACGGCUCACCAAGGCAACGAUACAUAGCCGACCUGAGAGGGUGAUCGGCCACACUGGGACUGAGACACGGCCCAGACUCCUACGGGAGGCAGCAGUAGGGAAUCUUCCGCAAUGGACGAAAGUCUGACGGAGCAAUGCCGCGUGAGUGAAGAAGGUUUUCGGAUCGUAAAACUCUGUUGUAAGGGAAGAACAAGUACGUUAGUAACUGAACGUACCUUGACGGUACCUUACCAGAAAGCCACGGCUAACUACGUG
rnacentral:rRNA from 1 species